ensembl:ncRNA H16O14.76 ncRNA
UAUAACAGAGUUAGUUGGAAAAAAAUGUCUGUUUCAAGUUGUUCAUUUAUAUUUCAAAUUUUUUUUGAUGACGGUUUUAGAAACGUUAUAAUUUUCAAUGACCAUAUAUAGUUUUGUUUUGAAAAAAAAUGUA